UCUAGUGCGGGCGUUCCCG
rnacentral:miRNA from 1 species